rnacentral:rRNA from 1 species
GGAAAAGAAACUAACAAGGAUUCCCUUAGUAACUGCGAGUGAACAGGGAUUAGCCCAACACCGAAGCCUGCGRUUAAUUGAUCGUGAGGCAAUGUGGKGUUUAGGUUGGCUUCAGACAUUACUGCUCUGCCCCACGUCCAGCAAUGAGUACGGCUUCCCAUUCUGGCCCAAAGAGGGUGAAAGGCCCGUGGGGGUAGAGAUCAAGUGUGACAGUUCUGUUCUGAGCUACCCUUGGAGUCGGGUUGUUUGUGAAUGCAGCCCAAAGUGGGUGGUAGACUCCAUCCAAGGCUAAAUACUUACACGAGUCCGAUAGCAAACAAGUACCGUGAGGGAAAGUUGAAAAGUACUUUGAAGAGAGAGUAAACAGUGCGUGAAACCGUUC